CCUCCCGCGCUGCCGCGCAUCGACUGGCUACGGGAGCGGAGCGGUGGGAGCCGGGAGCGGGAGGAGUGUCUUUUACGUAAGCUGUUUUAUUCCAGGGUGUGGCUGCUGAGAAACAUCUGAGGCUUCAGCCGGCACAGCUGACACAUUCUCCUCCUGACUUGAGCACACCCCCCUCUGCUGGUGUUAGGCAGCAAAGAAAAUUCUUCCCUGCUUUGUUUGGCUGCAGGGAUUCUGGGUACAAGUCCAAGAACACUAAUUCAGACCCACAGGAAGGCUUUGCUAUCCACUGCAGCACAAGCAGAGUUUAUUGUGGAGCCUUUUUAAUUCACAAAGCUGCUGCAUGUAAGUGGGGCAAAACAUCGCCCAAGUCCCGAAGAUCUAAGAGGCACCAGCGCAGCAGCUGCAGCAUGUCUCUGCUGGGACUGUGGGCCGUUCACUGUGUGUGGUAUCAGCAGACCUGAUGAGAGAUUAUGCUGAAAAUGAUCAGUGGAGGCAUAAAAUCUGUGUAUGUGCUUUUUAACAUGACUUUGUAAGGCAUCGUUUACAAAGUACUAUGGAUCGAUUUUCUCACAAAUAAGACCUCAGAAUGCAUCAUUGUGCUCUCAAAUAUGAUGUAUUAUCUGUAUGUUAUUCAUUAAAGACAUACAUUUGGUCAUGCCCCGUUAUUUAGAGAGCUAUUUAGAAGUGAUGAUAAAUUAUAUAAUUUUGUGUGCUAUCAAUGAGAUGUUUAUUCCUAUGUUUUGAUGACUUUGCUUAGGAAACAACGUCCCAAAGUUGAAGCAGCCAUCUAUCACCGCCUUGGAAAAGAAGUGUCCACAUGUCUAAUGUGCUUUAAUGAACAUGUAGUCUGUUGGACAGCUAGUUUUCUGAUGGAUUUUGGAGGUUGUGAGCCUUGACACAAUUCCCUGGCCAAAAGACAAACAACCCCCUCAUGACACACUCAUCAGUUUCAUCCUCUCACUGCUCAUCGCUCAUCCAACUCUGGCAUCUGGUGUUACUCAUAAUCAAUAGUGUUGGGAUCCAAAGUCUGCCCAGAGCAAGGAGUUGCAUAUUAUAUAGCACCCACAGAAUAUUGUUACUGUCAUGGAAAAAGCAUGUCUUUUUUCGUUCUUUCUGAAAGUUUUAUAUUGUCAUUCAAGGUACAUGUUAUGCAAGAAAACACAAUUUGCAGGUUGGUGCCACUGACAUGUUCAGUGGUUUGAAAAACAACAUUUUUUUAUUGCUUAAAAAUCUACCAUAUGUUCUCCACAUCUGGCCUGCUUGAUCUCUGUUACUUUAAAUGUAUUUCUAUGUUCACUCUUCAUUCCUUUUAAUCUUUUACAGCCCAUUCUCUGCAUUAACCUGUGGACGAAUGUUUAAGCUAUGGAUCUCCAGUAAUGAAUGAUUCAUUACAUUUUGACACAAACUGUACCCCAAGGUGCAAUAUUGCCUUAUAUAAUCUUCUUCAAACUUAUUACAGACUCAGCAAUGGCAUAACUCUGCAGUGCUCUAAAUUGCUCUUUUGGCCCAGCUGCCCUUUGAUUGAUUAUGAUAAAUGGGCAUGAGCAACAGUUUAAUAAAUUACACUGGCCAGAAUAAAUCCAUGAUUCUCCUUCUGAGGGGGCUGUUUUAUUCUUUGGUUUUACCGUGCACACAACGUCUCGAAUUUCAUCACAGGUCACAGCCUCAAAGGUUCACUAUCUUUUCACCACGGUCAGUAAGAGUUCUGGUAGAGUGGUGAUUGAUCAGAGACACAGAGCAGAAAAGCAGGAUUCAACUUGCAGAAAAAUGUAGGGCAUCAAGCUCUCACAGCUGCAAUUUAUUUAAGAAGGAAAAAUGCAUUCGUAUGCUAGAGUUCACAAAUUAUAGUACUGCACAGGUCUAUAUGGUUGGCAUCUCUUGCAACAACAAGCCAGCAAACACUGCACAGAAGCGCCACAUAAUUAGUGGGCCUGUGAUGUAGCUUCAUCAUGGACACAGCACAGAUAUUAUGUGAUAGUUAUAGCACUUGAAGCACUACAAAUAGAAACAAAAAAUCAUCUGGUUUCAGUGCUUACUUUAUAACCAUCUCUGCUGCACAAAAACUCCUUGAUACUUUAUCCUGUGCUCCUCUGAUGAAGAUGAAUGCAUUUGUGCUGCGCCUCAUUUGAGGUUUCCAGUGAGGGUGCACUAAGCUAGAGUCAGACCCUGAUCAAUUGACAAGCAAGGCACCGUGUGGGCAGCCAAUCCCCUGGCUGAGUGCUCCAGUAUCGGGGUGAGGACAAAAAGGAAGGCCAAACGUGAAGAUAUGUAGGAUGGGUAAACCAUAGGCUGUACAUUUUGUUCUCUGUAUGCCAAUUAUCUGCAAAUACUCCGACAGACAGCUCAGGGUAAUGUUUAGAAAUGCUGACUGCGUUAAUGCAAAGUCAACUGAAUUUGCUGUGGGUAAUAAACUGCGCUGUUAUCUGUGAA